rnacentral:lncRNA from 1 species
GAAGAAUAUCCAUCAGAUGCAGAUUUGAUGUAAAAAUUUCAUCUGAUAAGAACACGGAUCAGUUCAAACCAAACAAGCCAACUAGGACUCUCUUAGCUAGUUACACAACCAGGAAAUAAGGUGGAUGAUUACAGUUUAUCAUAAUGGUAAAAACUUUCAAAGAACUAGUAUCAUUCAUGGGACAAGCCUUCCCCUGCAUAUGAGCAGAGUAUUUCAUAGCAGAUCACUUAAUUCUAUGCAUUUUCAAUCAAGCUGACUGAUUCUGUAGAAUAAUCAGACAUGGAAGAUGACUCUCCACCAGUGUUCAUUGGCUUCUCAUCUAGAUUUAGAACUGGUCGGAGGCAGUUGCAGGCUUUCCAUGUCUCCUUCAAGCAUCUCCACAACUUCGUUCAUUGCGGGCCGAUUCAGAGGAUUCAUUUGUACACACCACAACCCUACAAUAAUCAUCUUCUUGGCUAUCUUUUUUUCUUCUUCCGUGCCACCAUCUCCAAUCUCUAUAGCCUUCUCAUUAGAGACUUCGUCAUGAACCCAAUCUGGCCAGUAAAUCUCGCUGCACCUUUCAGCCAACGGAUUCAAUUUUUUUCUUCUGCCUGCCAUUUCCAACAGCAACAUUCCAAAGCUAUAAACAUCAGCUUUGUAUGAGACGCGCCCGAUGUUUGUAGAACAGUUCUGGCGCCAUGUACCUAUCGUUCCCCGGUGCAGUGAGAGAUUUAAGACUCUCAUUUGCUGGCACAACCUAGCAAGUCCAAAUCAGAAACUUUUGGAGUGAAAUUUCAUCGAGAAGAAUGUUGUGAGGCUUGAUGUCAAAAUGUAGGAUCUGCAUCUCACAACCUCGAUGUAGAUAUUCGAUGCCAUGAGCCACUCCAAGGGAAAUCUCAUGCAGUUUUUCCCAGCUUAAAGAGACAGAUCUUUCUUGAGAAAAAAUGAAAUUAUUGAGAGAUCCAUUGGGCAUGAAAUCAUAUACAAGAGCGCGCUUUGAUCCCUCAGCACAAAAACCAACUAGUUGAACUACAUUGGUGUGGCGAAUCCUUCCAAUGGUAGCGACUUCAUUGAUGAAAUCUUGUCCAUUAGCCUUGGAUUUGCCCAGCAAUUUUAUCGCUGCAGAAUGUCCACUGCGAAGCUUUCCCUUGUACACGCAACCAAAACCUCCUUUGCCCAACUCUUCCUUGAAACCUCCGGUCAUCUUCUUAAUCGCGGAAUAAGAAUACCUUACUACUGGCAUAAGAUUGUUAUGAGUCUGUAGGAAUUCCUCAACCGUGUCAUAUGCUGAUAGAUGUCUUCGUCGCCAUUUAUAGAUCAAGAAUGCAAUCACAAACGGACUCCCAAAGAUACAUUUUGGCCCCUGAAGUAUUGCUGUGUGUGAAAUUUGAGGGGGGAAAUCAAGACAGAAAUCAUGAUUAUUUCUUUUUAAUUAUCAGAUAAAGACACAACAUGGUUAGGUUUGGUGUUAGAAUUUUUUCGCCUAGUUGAAAAAUCAUCUAAAAUCUAGACCAUCAUGAUUUGUAGAAAAGCAUACUCUUAACCAAAAGGUAUGUCUCAAAUUAGGCAACCCCCACCCCAAGAACUUGGCAUAAGAAGACAUUUAGGAAUUAUCAUUUUGUAUCUGCUAAUAAAAUAUGAUCCAUAUCGUAAGCUUAAAAAAAAAUAAUAAUUAAUAAGGGGAGUUCUUACCAAUGAAGAUGGAUGCAAACAGCAGCACGGCUGCAGAGAAGGUAAACAAAUUUAGAGAUAUUAUAGUAAGAAUUAAGCAUGAAGAAGUGGGGAGAUAGAAUCCUCACUUGCGGUUAUAGAGAACCAAGAAAAUCUUCCUGUACCAAGAGAUCAGUUACAAAGAUUAGAUUUGUGAUUUGAGAAAAUAUAUAACGGAGGUUAUUACAAGAUGAAAGAACUUGGGAAGAAACAAAUGAAUGACUAAGCAAAAUUAUCCUGGUUUUACCUUUUGAAUUCAAAUCUUGAGGUUAAUAUCGAGAAGAUUUUAUUAAUUUUUUCUGAAUGUAUUACAGAAGCGAAACUUAGUUUUGUUUGACUAAGUUUUCUGGAAAUUGGUAUAAAAAUAUCAUUUAUCGUCGAAUAAAAGAAAACCAUGAAUUAUUAUGACAAAUGAUACGACCAUCUGUAGCCUAUGAUAGCUUGAUUGAACUGACAGUACGAUACUCAGCACUACAACAUGCUUCAGAAAUGGGGAAAUCAUGCGAAGGGAAGUUGAAGAUAGAAAAACGAACAGUUUGUUACUCAAUUUUGCCCACCUGCGCAGCGUGUCUGGUUCGAAUCAUAGAUGUAGCAAAUACCUGCACAGCUUCUACACAUGCUAUUGUGCCAUGAAAGCUCAAACCCAUAUGCGAGCUGACUGUGAAUUUCCUUAUAGGACAUGCUCUUGUACUUGACUGGCAACAACGUCAUCCUCUCUAAGCUGCACAGUUCCAUCAGAUCCGAAGCCUUUAUCCCACCAGCAUUCACAUAAGAACGCAUCAAGAGUGAAGCAUUGGAAGAUUUUUCUCCAUUAAGGCAAGUACCAGUGUCUACGUACAGAGGAGAAUCCACUGGAUUUGCGCAGUUUAUAAAAAUCAUCAUCUGCGAUAACGGGAGAGGCUUGUAUUUGGGAAACCACUCCCACCCUGUCUUUUUGUAUUGAAACCAUGUGUAUGGAUAAUCAUCAACUGCGAUAUAAUCUAAGCCUGUAAAUGUUAAAGUAAAAAUAUUAUAUGACCUUCUGGAAUUGCCUAGGCUAUCAAAUGCUAAAGAAAAAUCAGGAAGCGAAGAGCAAUCAUUUUCUUUAACACCAGCAUCAACCACUCGGAUAGUCAGGUUGUUGUAGUUGAUUGCCUGCACGUAGUAUUUUCGUGAGUCUAAAUACAAUACAGUGGAGCUAUUUUUCUCGCAGUGGAGGGUAUAGAGAGGGUCUCCACAGUUUGAUGGAUGACUACUGUUUAGGCUAAAGGGGUAGCUAACAGUAUGAUUUCCACAUGAAGAAGGGGCACAGAGAUUGGUAUCCUUGCAGUUGCUGGUUUGGAAGACUAGCAGCAGGGGGAGUAGUAAGGCAAAACAUGGAUGGAGAAAGAGGAACCUAGACAUGGAUGGAGAAAGAGUAUGUAGUGCAUAAACAAUUCUUCUAGUCUUGAGAAGACAGCAGAUAAAGUCAGUGAAACAUAGAGGCGACUUUUAAUAUCAGCAUAUUAAAAUUACAGCCAACUACCAAGUCAUCGCAUGAUUUAAUGUUCAAAGGUCACAAUAAUAUCACAUUACAAUUAAUGUUCAAAGGUCACAAUAAUAAAGAAAAGAUUAAUGGUUGAUUGUAAAAUUGAACAAGAACAAAAAAUCCACCUACGCUCAAAGCCACAACCUUCUCAAAACCACAAGCGUCUCAAAACCAAGUCCAAUUAAUUAAGCUUCUCCACUCUACAACAAGAGAACUUUCAGGUGACCAGACUGUCAUAAAACGAAGGUAUCAGAUUUACCCUUGCUGCUCCCACUGAGUUUACUACUGUUUCAACAAUAUAUCAGUGUUAUUAGGCCAAUCUUGUAUCACCAUAGGAGGCAAUGAUGAAAGGUUCAUCAAAAAAGGCUAUAUGCCUGUUCUGUUUCAUGUUCAUUGCAGAACUUGGAGCAAGCCUUAAUUGCACAGGAUCUUGUGGGAACCGUGGCCUUCACAUCCGAUUUCCAUUCUGGAUAAAGGAUAGGCAGCCAGAACAGUGUGGCUAUCCUGGUUUUGAUCUGUCUUGCAAUGAGAUGGGCGAUAUAGUGCUCUUGCUGCCAACUGCAGUGAAGCUCUACAUAGAUAAGAUUGACUACGAAAAUCAAGUUAUUUAUGCAAGUGAUCCCCAAGGUUGCCUUCUAAGCCAGCACUCAAACUUCAAUUCCUCUGUGUUUCACUUACAGUUUAAGAUGUCUAAAGUCGAUUUUUCCAUCUUCAAUUGUUCUUCAAAUAAUGCAAGAUCCCCGAACUGGUUGGUCCCUUGUUUAAGUACUCUCCACUAUGACGUUCUUGCCGUUGAUUCAGAACAAUCUAUUGAUGACAACGAGUUAUUACUAUCUUGUACCAAGAUGUACGACCUACCUGUUCCACAAGAUAUUCGUCUGUCGUGGUCCAAUCCCAAUUGUGGAUCUUGUGAAGCAACAGGAAAACUAUGUGGAUUGAGGGAAAAUAGCAGCACUGAGCUUGAUACUGAAUGCUAUGGCUUGCCCAGACCAGAGAAAGGUAUCUUUAGCUUUAAGUCUUCUUUUCAUUGUUCUGUGUUCAUGGCAUCUUGAUUUUCCAUGAUUCCUUGCUUCACUAAGUCUACAUCUCUACUUUGAUUAAUGUAUUGCAAGUGUCCUUGAACACCCAAGUCCUAUCUACUAGUGAGUUGACUGACAUGUGGUUUCCCUGUGCAUUUAGCGUUCUUGAUUCUACAAAUAGAGGAUAUUAUCAUGACUUUAGAAACUUUCAGAAAAUUAGAACUUAACAGGGGUUCUUAUCUUCUGCAGGUGCACGGAAAAAACGACUGACUAUAGGUUAGUUGUUCUCAAAUUUGCUCCAACACAUUGCUUUCAAAAAAGAACAUGUCUCUUGACUCAAAAGGCUUCUUUAUAUAUGCAGGUGUAACCACAGGAUCCAUCCUUUUCGGGGUUUUGGCCAUUGCAGUCUACCAAAUCUAUAGCUUCAGAAAAUCAGAAGAGGAAUAUCAGGCCAAGGUUGAAAGGUUUUUGGAUGAUUACAGAGCUAUGAACCCCACAAGAUACUCCCAUGCUGAUCUCAAAAAGAUGACAAAUCAAUUCAGGGAUGAAUUGGGGCAAGGGGCUUAUGGAACUGUGUUCAAAGGAAAGCUAACCAGUGAUAUUCCGGUGGCUGUUAAGGUUCUGAGCAAUUCAUCAGAAAAAGGAGAGGAAUUCGUCAACGAGAUGGAAACAAUGGCUAGGAUUCACCAUGUCAAUGUAGUCCGCUUGAUUGGCUUCUGUGCUGAUGGAUUCAGACGAGCUAUAGUUUACGAGUACUUGCCAAACGAUUCGCUGCAGAAGUUCAUAUCUUCAGCAAACGCCAAGAAUGUUUUCCUUGGAUGGGAAAGGCUGCAUCGUAUUGCCCUUGGAGUAGCCAAAGGGAUUGAAUAUCUUCACCAGGGUUGUGACCAAACAAUCCUCCACUUUGAUAUCAAACCGCAUAAUAUCCUGCUGGACAAUGACUUCAAUCCCAAGAUUGCAGAUUUCGGUCUGGCUAAGUUGUGUUCCAAGUAUAAAAGUGCUGUUUCCAUGACAAGAGCUAGGGGAACCGUCGGCUACAUAGCACCUGAAGUGUUCUCAAGAAACUUUGGGAAUGUCUCCUACAAGGCAGACGUGUACAGUUUCGGAAUGUUGGUGUUAGAAAUGGUUGGUGGAAGGAAAAAUGUUGAUGAAACAGCAGAAAAUGGUGAUCAAGUAUACUUCCCAGAAUGGAUUUAUAAUCUCUUAGAAGAAGGAGAAGACCUGCGGUUGCACAUCGAGGAAGAAGGGGAUGCUGAAAUUGCGAAGAAGCUAGCCAUUGUGGGACUGUGGUGCAUCCAGUGGAACCCAGUGGACCGUCCUUCCAUGAAAAGUGUUGUCCAGAUGCUGGAAGGUGAAGGAGACAGGUUAAGUACACCUCCUAAUCCUCUUAGCUCCACAGCUCCAAAGAGAACGAAUACAGGUAUGCUAAGGCCGUGAUCUAUGAGCAGCUGCCCACAGUGGAUUCUGAGUAAUUCGCGGCUUAUUACACAAAUAAAAGAUUAGCUUGGAAGAUUAGUUUUUAAAUUGUAUUUCUCAAACUAUAUGACGAUGAUACUUUAGGACUAUUAAGAGUGUUUGGCUCUGCGUUAGUUGCUGUGUUUUUUGUGAAACUCAAUAACAUAAUGUUUGGUUUCACCGCAGGUUCUGUGCAAGCAAGUUUUUCUUGCUUGUGGCUGCGUUUAACAUUGCUGUGUUUUUGUUAGAUGAAGAGUUGCCCUCUUUACUGGUCACAUAAAUAUGUGUCGGGGGUUUUGUUGCCAUGCUUCUAAAUUUUUAUUUUUUUUUAAUUUUUUUUUAAUAUUUUAAUAUCAUUUUAAUACAUUGAAGUAAAAAUAAUUUUUAAAAAAUAAAAAAAUAUUAGUUUAAUAUAUUUUCUAAUAAAAAAAUAUUUUAAAAAACAACUUUUAAUACACCAAAACAAGCCUUUCAAGGUAAUUAAAGUUUCAGGUACUUCUUCCUUAGUAUCCAUUACUAUUAUUUAUUCAGUUGAUGCUACAAAACUAAUACUUUAUGGUCAAAUAGCUAAAGCUCAAGUAGCAUUUAAAGAAGAAUUGAUAGGAAAUACUAACAAACUGGGAAAUAGAAAGGAUUCAAUCACGAUAUACUUGAAACUAUAUGGACUCAAUUGUUAAAAUUUUAUAUUUUAUGGUUAAUUUGAGUAUCCUCUGUAAUUAAACAACACCUACCUUUUGAACGAAUUUGAAUAUCUUGUUGUCUUCUUCAAUGCAAACAACCAUCCACGUGGAAACUGCGUGUUAUUUGAGUCUAUAGAUUUUUAUUGUUGCAACGUUGCUAACCUUUUUUCGAUAAAAAAAAAUAUAUUAAAUUAUAUAAAAAUUAACUUAAAAUAACCCUUGACACAUUCAAAAACAAUUCAAAUAACUAAAAAUAUAAUUUGACUCCAAAAAAUAUUAAAAAUGAUAUUUUUAAAAAAAUUAUUAAGAUUAAAACAUAUUAGAUCGACUUGGAUGAACUUAAGUUAACCUGUCAAUUUUACGACUUGGAUAAUGAGACAAAAAUAACCCCAUGUAAAGUAAAUCAAAACAAAUUAUAAAAUCCAGAUCUCAAUCAAUCUAAUAUUAAAAACUGAACUUGAAAAAAAAAUUUAAUUUUUUUUUUAAAACCUUAAUCAAUUCAAGUUAAUCUAUCAAAUCUAUGAAUCAUCAAACCAUGAUAAACUUAUAUAUAUAUAAAAAAAAUAUAAAACUUGAUUCUUAAUCAACCUAUUGUUGAAGAAUAAAAUUGAAAUUUUUUUAAAAAAAAGACAAAAAAAACCUCAAGUAAACUCGCCAAACCCAUAAUUUGGGUUAUAAGAGCGGAAUAACCUUAUAGAAAGCAAACAAAAAAAAUUAGCCCUGCUAAACUCGAGUUACACUAUGAAACCCAUGUCACAAGUGAUGAAACUAAGAUAACUACAUAUACACCAAAUCAAAACAAAUUAUGAAGCAUAAUUUUUAAUCAACUCAUUGUUGAAAAAUAAUUUUUUUUUAAAAAUCCAAUCUAAAAAAAAAACAGAAUAAAAUGACUAAGUCAAUCCAAGUUAAUCCGAAAAAUUCAUGAUCCACGUUGUGAGACUAUAAUAACCUAAUAGGAAGUAAGCUGGAAAGAAUUAUAAAAUCUAAUUUUUAAUCAAUAUAAUGUUGAAGCAUAAAUUGAAAAAUAAUACAAAUUAAAAAAAAAAACACAAGUUAAUCCAUUAAACUAGCAACACAUGUCAUGAGACCAUAUAACAAAACAAGCCACCUUUUAUUUUGUUUUUGUUAAUGUGACCGGUCCCUCAAAGUGAAAAACAUGAAAAGUACCCCCCUCUCUCUCAGGCCAUGGUUUCAGGCACUAAGAGCCACCACCCCUCCUCCUAUAAGCCACCCAAGAACCACCACUUGAGCCUUGUCUUGCAUCAUCCUAUACUCAACCAGAAAAGAAAACUGAUUAGCUUAGACUUUGAAAGGGAAAUAAAAUUAGGUUAACAAAAACAGAGGAGUAAAAACAAAAUGCACUAAAGUGAGGCUGCCAUUGUAAAACUGAAUAACAAACAUGUAGAUGUAGUACAUUGAUCACCAUCAAUCAUAAGAACAUAAGUUGCUCAGCUGCAGCAAUUUCUGUUUGUUAAGUUUUUUCAGCAAGGAAACCAACAACAUCCGGCAUAACAUGGCAAGAAAAACUUUUCCUUGUAGCAGUAUGAAAUAUUCCAAGGAUGGCAGAGAACUCAAUCUUCAUAAAAAUUGCAAAAGGAUUUCGAUUGAAGGCUAAAAUUUGCCAUUUUUCCGAAAAGAGCUUUCAAACUAAAUCGAAAAUUUGAAAGUUUAAGGUCAAUCUUUGGAGCAACGAUCACCACAACAACACCAUUCUAAACGGUUUUUUUACUGCUUGAGAAAAGAAAAAAGUUUUCUAGCAGCAGCAUACGAAUUAAAAGAAAAAACUCAUACCUAUUAGUGAUGAAACCAAAUAUUUGACCCAUCUUCCUCUUCAUCUUCAGUUCUGCAAGCAGCAACAGCAGAUUUGAAACCAAAAUCUUGUAACCCAGAAAACGGGAUUCCCACGUCUUGUUAUUUUUCAUCUAACAAAAAAACUGAAGAAACAGGAGUUCUUCUUAAGAAAUAUUCCGUAUAGCAUGGAAAAUUAAAGCUUCCAUGAUAAAUUGGUGGCUCCUCCUCGCUUCAAACUCCAAGAACCUCAGCUUACACUUGUCAUUGGUGACCAUUCCAGAUGAUGAAUUCGCCUAUGACAUAGACUAAAAAAAAAUGAAGCUAUAAUUCAAGACAGCUUAUAAUUAAUCGUCACUAAUGAAUGAUCAAGAAGAAAGGAAAAACUUGUAAUCAUUAAUUUAAACACUUGAUGAAUCUUGAAUUUGAUUAAGCGAUAAAAAGCUUUUAGUGAAAACCUAAAAUCAACAACAAACCAAAAAAAGUCAAAUAUAAUCAUGAUGGAAAUAUAAAAAAAAUCACCUGGCCAUUGAUCAUGUUCUCGGAACCCUUCAACUGAACCAACCUCUCCCCAAACUAAAUACCCAAUUUCCACAAUCUAUUCCCAUAAGCCUGGAUGUGAUUGGCAGUCGCCUUGUAACCUUCAAUUUCCACAACCAAUGAUGUCUCCUUUGUUUGGAGAGAGAGAGAGAGUGUGUGUGUAAAAAAAUAAAUUAUAUAAUUUAUUUAUUUAUUAGUGUUUAUAAUUUUUAGUUUAUUUGAUUAUAUGUGUAUAAAGUUUUUAAUAUAUAUAUAUAUAUAUAUAUAUAUAUAUAAUCUUUUAUAUAAAAAAAUCAAAAUAUUUAACCGGUUCUCUAACCUAGGUGGCGUACAAUAGACUGUACCAUGAUUGGAAGUGUUUGGGCUUUAAUUUCCUGGGAGUCCAAUUGCAUCUAACCUUGAAAUUGAUUAGAUCCACAGGCCGCUUGUAUAAUAAUGGAUUAAUGCCCUAGCAAAUUGAUUAUGGGUUAGUUUAAAACUAUUAAAUUAUUGUUUUAUGAUUGAUAAUUAAAGUUUAUAAACAAUAAGAAUUAAUUAAUUUUGCAACACUUUUAAUUUUAAAUUCUAGUGUAGAUAGGGAAUGAAAAUGGAGUGUUUUCCAUAACUUUCAAUAGUUACUUUGCCUUUUUAUUGUUUUAAAACUUUCUUUUCUCCUUUUAUUUUUUAUUUUUUAUUAUAAAGGUUAAGUUCUGGUUCUUUGUACAGAAAUAUUGAGUUUAAGAAUAAAUGAUGUAAUUCUUAACAACAAUAUUUUUCUUUCUUUGUCUAUUAUAUUUUCACUAGUUUUAAUUUAAUACUUUGUAUUUUAAUAAGUAUAUUACAUUAUUUUGAAUACGCUAGUUCAUAGUAAAAACAGUCGCAAUACACAAUAUUUCCUGACUUUUGUUUUUUAAUUUAAGUUUUAAUAUGUAUAGUAGAAGCCAAUGAUGCAAUGAAAAUGAGGCAAAAGAGUUAAAAUAAGUGCAUUUCGAGUGACGUUACUGAGAAAGAAACUCAAAGUUUGUGAAUUUAUGUCUCUGUUUUCAAAAGGGAUGUGUAAACAGUGCUUAGCGGAGCGGUUUAUGACUUUUGAUAGAUUUGAAGUAAAAAUUUCAUCUGAUUAGAACGUAGAUCAGUUCAAACCGAACAUAGAUCAUAUUACAGUUAUCAUAAUGGUAAUAACUAUCAAAGAACUAGUAUCAUUCAGGGGACAAGCCUUCCCAUACACAUGAGCAGAGCAUUUCAUACAAGAUCACUUAAUUAUAUGCAUUUUCAAGCAAGCUGACUGAUUCCGAAGAAUAAUUAGACAUGGAAGAUGACUCCCCACAAGUGUUCAUUGGCUUCUCAUCUAGAUUUAGAACAGGUUUCGGAGGCAGUUGCAGGCGUUCCAUGUCUCCUUCAAGCAUCACCACAACUUCGUUCAUUGCAGGUCGAUUCAUAGGGUUCUUUUGUAUACACCACAACCCUGCAAUAAUCAUCUUCUUGACUAUCUUUUUUUCCUCUUCCGUGCUACCAUCUCCAAGUUCUAUAGCCUUCUCAUUAGAGACUUGGUCAUGAACCCAAUAUGGCCAGUAAAUCUGGCUUGAAUUCUCUGCCAAUGGGUUCAGAUUCUUCCUUCUGCCUGCCAUUUCCAACAGCAUCAUUCCAAAGCUAUAAACAUCAGCUUUGUAUGAGACGCGCCCAAUGUUCUUGUAGAACAGUUCUGGCGCCAUGUAUCCUAUCGUUCCCCUUGCUGCAGUGAGAGAUUUAAGACUCUCAUUUGUUGGACACAACCUAGCAAGUCCAAAAUCAGCAACUUUUGGAGUGAAAUGUUCAUCGAGAAGAAUGUUGUGAGGUUUGAUGUCGAAA